rnacentral:rRNA from 1 species
UACGGAGGGUGCGAGCGUUGUCCGGAAUCAUUGGGCGUAAAGGGCGCGUAGGUGGCCCAGUCAGCGUGCGGUGAAAGCUCGGGGCUCAACCCCGAGUCGGCCGUGCGAACUACUGGGCUGGAGCACUGUAGAGGCAGGCGGAAUUCCGGGUGUAGCGGUGGAAUGCGUAGAGAUCCGGAAGAACACCGGUGGCGAAGGCGGCCUGCUGGGCAGUUGCUGACACUGAGGCGCGAAAGCGUGGGGAGCAAACAGG